rnacentral:rRNA from 1 species
GCGGCGGACGGGUGAGUAACACGUGAGUAACCUGCCUUAGACAUUGGGAUAGCCUCGGGAAACCGGGAUUAAUACCAAAUAAAAUCAUAAUGACACAUGUCAUAACGAUCAAAACUCCGGUGGUCUAAGAUGGACUCGCGUCCCAUUAGCUAGUUGGUAGAGUAAAAGCCUACCAAGGCGACGAUGGGUAGCCGGCCUGAGAGGGUGAACGGCCACAUUGGAACUGAGAAACGGUCCAA